rnacentral:tRNA from 1 species
UAAUAAGUAGUUUAAGAAAAACGAUAGGUUGUGGUUCUAUAGAUAGAGUUAUUAACUCUUAUUAGC